GAAAGUAAAAGUCGUAACAAGGUUUCCGUAGGUGAACCUGCGGAAGGAUCAUUACUGAGUGAGGGCCCCUCGGGGUCCAACCUCCCACCCGUGUUUAACGAACCUUGUUGCUUCGGCGGGCCCGCCUCACGGCCGCCGGGGGGCAUCUGCCCCCGGGCCCGCGCCCGCCGAAGCCACCUGUGAACGCUGUCUGAAGUAUGCAGUCUGAGACAAUUAUUAAAUUAAUUAAAACUUUCAACAACGGAUCUCUUGGUUCCG
rnacentral:misc_RNA from 1 species